UACGUAUGGUGCAAGCGUUAUCCGGAUUUACUGGGUGUAAAGGGAGCGUAGGCGGCAAGAUAAGUCUGAAGUGAAAGCCCGGGGCUCAACCGCGGGAUUGCUUUGGAAACUGUAGUGCUAGAGUGUCGGAGGGGUAAGUGGAAUUCCUAGUGUAGCGGUGAAAUGCGUAGAUAUUAGGAGGAACACCAGUGGCGAAGGCGGCUUACUGGACGAUUACUGACGCUGAGGCUCGAAAGCGUGGGGAGCAAACAGG
rnacentral:rRNA from 1 species